GACAGCGAUGGGGCGCUAGCGACUGCAAGUUUCCCCAAAGAUCUUCAUGUGGCAUACUUUAUUUGCUAGCACAGAGGGCAGAUUAAUGGUCAGUUUAAGUACUUCUUAAGUAUGUUGACUUGCGCAGCAUACAUACUCCCUAAAGCAACCAUGAUGCGAUACUAACUUGACUGAUUAUCGCUCAGAUCAGCCCUGUUUUUGUAGUUUUUAAUUUUUGAUAACGUUAUUUCCAUUUUCGGAUGGAAAAUAGUUAUCAAAAGCUGCACAGAGCCUGCGACGAGCUAUCGCUCACUAUCUGCAAUAAUCAGUCGCAAUCGGAGGUGGGAAAACGUGGUAGCGAAGAUUUCGGGGUGCUGAAUUCCAGUACAUGGUUUACCGUCGCUGUCUCGGAUAACCCCCCAUGGAACUUCGAAAACCCGCAUGGUUCAGGGUGCUUCUGUGGAAUAUCUAUAAAGUUUUGCAGUUAAUAGGAAAACCAUAGGACUGCGAUUGCUUAUGUUACCUGUCACUGCUGCUCCAACAAAAUUCACUACUUAUGGAACUGACUACGAAGGAGCGCCAGCCGAGUUUUUAGCUGGCAAUGUCGAUAUGAGCCUUUGUCCCUUGACCGCUACGCCAGCGCGUGUCCGUCGUUUCGAACUGAUAACAGGAUUUCUGUUACGCAGUUGCGAUAUUGCCAUCCACAAGCGCUGGCUGGUGGAUUCCGCGGUUGCAGCUAAUUCAGUCAUUGACGCUUUAUUUUACAAAGCCUUGACGUACUUGUGGCUGGAACUCUUGCUGAUGUCGCUCUGCGUUUUUUUGGUUCUAAUUUUUGUUCGUACGGUGGGUGAAGAUGAUCAUGGAAAACGAACACCAGUUAUGCGCAGUUCUGCUACCCACAGCCUGAAAUCUUUGCAGAAUGUCAAUGUAAUUUCUCGAAGCCUUCACGACGUCGUUAGUGGCUUCUUCAACCAAGAUGACAUCUCGACGCCCAAGACCUACCACAGCGCUAAAUUCUUGCUCCUGCAGUGGCUCUUCUACACAUAUUUUGCAACCAGUUUGAUGAACGCAAAUAUUAGUUCGCGUUUAGCGGCCGGGUCGCUUUGGGUACCGCCAUUCCGGACCAUUACCGGUUUUGUUGACUCCGGAUUUGAUCCACUGUUUCUCGCCAAGACGGCUUCCAUUGAAUUUAUGGUACAUACCAAUUGUACCAUGUGUGUUUUUGUCCCAUAAGAUGCGUCCUCAUGUUUUUGCUGUCGUUAAAAUGCAGCGCUUAAAAACACCUUAAAUUAACUUAAAGGUCAAGUGCCGCUUAUAAUUUGUAUACGCUUAGUAAAUCUUCUCUUGCCUGUUCCAGAACAGCAGAGCUCUUAAACCAUUGACAGCAAAGUUGCGACAAUAUGAUCUCUUUUUGAGUAGUCUUUCUUUUUGAGUUGGAACGGGCGCAACGUGUAAUCAUCUCUCAAGAGAUAAUAAUUUUCUAUUAAUCAAUGUAAUGUAAACAUGCUGUA